rnacentral:rRNA from 1 species
UACGGGGGGGGCAAGCGUUGUUCGGAAUUACUGGGCGUAAAGGGCUCGUAGGCGGCCAACUAAGUCGGGUGUGAAAUCCCCAAGCUUAACUUGGGAACUGCAUCCGAUACUGGAUGGCUUGAAUCCGGGAGAGGGAUGCAGAAUUCCAGGUGUAGCGGUGAAAUGCGUAGAUAUCUGGAGGAAUACCGGUGGCGAAGGCGGCAACCUGGACCGGCAUUGACGCUGAGGAGCGAAAGCGAGGGGAGCAAACGGG